UGGGGUAUGGCUUAAGCAGUAGAGUGCAUGCUUAGCAAGCACAAGGUCCUGGGUUCAAUCCCCAGCACCUCCU
rnacentral:tRNA from 1 species